AAAACUCAAAGGAAUUGACGGGGGCCCGCACAAGCGGUGGAGCAUGUGGUUUAAUUCGAUGCUACGCGAAAAACCUUACCUAGGCUUGACAUCCCGUGCUACCCGAUGAAAGUCGGGGUUCUCUUCGGAGACGCGGAGACAGGUGCUGCAUGGCUGUCGUCAGCUCGUGUUGUGAGAUGUUGGGUUAAGUCCCGCAACGAGCGCAACCCUCGUCUUUAGUUGCCAUCAUUCAGUUGGGCACUCUAAAGAGACCGCUUGGCUAUAAGCCAGAGGAAGGUGGGGAUGACGUCAAGUCCUCAUGGCCUUUAUGUCUAGGGCAACACACGUGCUACAAUGGGAGACACAAUGUGCAGCGAGCCGGCAACGGCGAGCAAAUCAAAAAAAUUCUCCCUCAGUUCGGAUUGGAGUCUGCAACUCGACUCCAUGAAGCUGGAAUCGCUAGUAAUCGUCGAUCAGCACGCGACGGUGAAUACGUUCCCGGGCCUUGUACACACCGCCCGUCACACCAUGGGAGUUGGUUUCACCGGAAAACGCUG
rnacentral:rRNA from 1 species